AGUGAACGCUGGCGGUAGGCCUAACACAUGCAAGUCGAACGGCAGCACAGUAAGAGCUUGCUCUUACGGGUGGCGAGUGGCGGACGGGUGAGGAAUACAUCGGAAUCUACUUUUUCGUGGGGGAUAACGUAGGGAAACUUACGCUAAUACCGCAUACGACCUACGGGUGAAAGCAGGGGAUCUUCGGACCUUGCGCGAUUGAAUGAGCCGAUGUCGGAGUAGCUAGUUGGCGGGGUAAUGGCCCACCAAGGCGACGAUCCGUAGCUGGUCUGAGAGGAUGAUCAGCCACACUGGAACUGAGACACGGUCCAGACUCCUACGGGAGGCAGCAGUGGGGAAUAUUGGACAAUGGGCGCAAGCCUGAUCCAGCCAUACCGCGUGGGUGAAGAAGGCCUUCGGGUUGUAAAGCCCUUUUGUUGGGAAAGAAAAGCAGCAGGUUAAUACCCCGCUGUUCUGACGGUACCCAAAGAAUAAGCACCGGCUAACUUCGUG
rnacentral:rRNA from 1 species